rnacentral:rRNA from 1 species
GACGGAGGAUGCAAGUGUUAUCCGGAAUCACUGGGCGUAAAGCGUCUGUAGGUGGUUCGAAAAGUCCACUGUUAAAAAAUUGAGGCUUAACUUCAAAGAUGCCGUGGAAACUUUCAAACUAGAGUAUGGUAGGGGUAGAGGGAAUUUCCAGUGGAGCGGUGAAAUGCGUAGAUAUUGGAAAGACCACCGAUGGCGAAGGCACUCUACUGGGCCACUACUGACACUGAGAGACGAAAGCUAGGGGAGCAAAUGGG